UGCCGGGUGGUGUAAAGGUAGCACAAACGGCUCUGGACCGUUUAGUCUAGGUUCGAAUCCUAGCCCGGCAG
rnacentral:tRNA from 1 species